rnacentral:lncRNA from 1 species
AGAGAAGAACAGCCAAAGAGAGAACAGCCAUCAGUAUGUACAUGGACAAGAGUGAACCAGGGCAAGACUAGAUUGCAGGGAUUUUGUUUGAUGUACCAUGAGCUCAACAUUGGGAUUGGAAAGAAGACAGUUGUAAAUGUUUACAUCUAACAGUAGACACAGCUGAGUGAAGAAUAAUUUCCAUGAAGAGUCACUAAAUAACAUUUCAUAAGGAGAACUGGAGUGAAAUAGGAUUGCAGUAAAAUAUGGACUCUGAGGGUCUAUGAGAAGAUUGCAAAGGUGACUUUGAGGAUCAAAAUAAACUGGGCUGAGCAUUUCUUGGUCCAAUGCUUUCAGAAUAAAUCUUUUGGGAAGUCAACGCACCAAAAGUUCCGAGGGAAUCUCAGCAUAAUUGAAUGCAUGGAGUACAAAAGAGAGUUGAGCAUAUGACAAAAUGUGUUAAAAAGGAAAAUGAAGGGACAAAAUAAGAAGCUUAAACUACAAAACCAAAACUAUAUCAGAGCCAAGUCAAACAAAGAAGAAAAGGUUGCAGACAUUUGAAGAAUCACUGGCAGAUCUACUUUGAAUAUAUUAUCACUACGAAAGGAAUAGAAAAUUCAUCCAUUCUGAAACCUGAAUAUACUCACUAGAAAUAAAAGGCACAUGAAUGAAAACUGUGUCAUUCCAGUGAGAUUACAAAGACCUAGAAGAAGAUGGGAUGUGAUCCCUUUCCAGAGCAGCCAGGUUGCUGGAUUAAAAUACCUCUGUACCAAUAAAACACAAAGAUGGAACGUCUAAGAAAACGUUGAGAACAUGUCCCUGUUUGUGACAGAACUACAAGUUGAGCAUUACAGGAAACAUCACUAGAGCCUCAAGGAAUAUCAAUGAAGGCCUUCAUGGAACUCAGUGUAUGAUCUCAUGGCAGGAUCAUGGAGGCAGGAACUGAAGCAAACGACACAAGUAAGUUAUUUUCUGGCAUGACCCUGUAGGAUAGAUUUAUAACAGUUAUCAGUGAAUAAAAGACACCCAAGGUUUGCACACAGAUAUAUCUGAUGGGGGAA